UCCGAUAUGGUCUAGUGGCUAGGAUUUGCCGCUCUCACCGGCAAGGCCCGGGUUAGUAACAUCCUCAUCAUUCACUCCAAUCACCAGUAUUAAUUCCGCUUUAGGUUCGAUUCCCGGUGUCGGAA
rnacentral:tRNA from 1 species